AACGCGAAGAACCUUACCAGGGUUUGACAUGGCCUCGCACCGCACGGAAACGUGCGUACCCGCAAGGGACGGGGUCACAGAUGCUGCAUGGCUGUCGUCAGCUCGUGCCGUGAGGUGUUGGGUUAAGUCCCGCAACGAGCGCAACCCUCGGGGCUAGUUACCGUGUCUAGUCCGACUGCCGCGACAAACGCGGAGGAAGGUGGGGAUGACGUCAAGUCAGCACGGCUCUUACAUCCUGGGCGACACACACGCUACAAUGGACGCGACAACGGGCAUGCCAAGCCGCAAGGCGGAGCGAAUCCCAUCAAAGGCGUCCUCAGUUCAGAUCGGCGUCUGCAACCCGACGCCGUGAAGGCGGAGUUGCUAGUAACCGCGGGUCAGCACACCGCGGUGAAUACGUUCCCGGGCCUUGUA
rnacentral:rRNA from 1 species